AAAAGAGUGGAACGAUGCAUAAUGUUUAAUGUUCAACUUACUCGGGACACCAUCAAGAUCAUCCAAAGAUUUUCAUGAAGGUAAAAACAUCAAAAUAGUGAAACUUUAAUAUAACCAAUCAGAAAGGAAGCGUUCAUGUCACAUGAAAAUAUAAAUGUAGAAACGAUGUUAUACGUCCAUUAUUUUAAUUUCCUCGCAAUUCAAAAAUGAAUAUCAAUAUCAAGCUUUCAUUCAUAUUUA